UUAAAUGUUAAAAUUAUUAAUCAGUAAUAUCGGUGAUCACUCUCAAAUUUCGUAUUUACCUUUCGUUACAAUGGGAAAAUAAGUUGCCAAAGCAUAAAUGAUUCGUUUUGUAAUAUUGUAAGCUCCAAUGAAAGUAAUGUUCGUUAGUAUCAGUUAAUAACAUUUUGUUAUUGGGUAGUAAAUAAUUCGUAGAUUGUCAUGUAAAAUCCAAGCAGAUAAUAGGCUCCGCGACCAAGAAACUAGGAUGAUUAGAACCUUCACGCUCAGAGCCUAAAUAAAUUUUAUGAGCUCAAAUCUUUGUUUAAGUAUUCAAUCUAUUACAAUUCAGUUUUAAAUAUAAAUUAUUAUCCAAGUUAAUUUUCUUGUUGCGUAUUUCUUUAUUUAAACGUUGAGGUAAUUUAUCGGAUUGUUUGAAGUUAAAACGCGAGCGAAAUUCUCCAAAAUCUUGAAAAGGCCAUACAAAGCGAUUUUAAGGAAAUGAUGAAUUCAGAGAUGUCUAACUGUUGUUCGAGGCACGUCGUCUUUCCAACACAUUUCAGUGAUACUCUCUUGUUCAUUUCUUUCAACAUGUUAAAUAAAAUCCUGUAAUGGACUGUAAGGUCGUAAGGCUGUUAGUGGCAAGGUGCUUCAUUGGAGAAUUGAGGAUUCGUUGUGUAACGCCAUUCUAUAAAAAUAAUCCGGAUUCGGUUGUCUCUGUUUUUUUCUCUCUUUUCUUAAUGCGGUCGUAUACUCGGACCGAAUAGCAUAGAGUUGGAAGGAAAAAGUGGCCCUACGAUAAUGGUACUUAACCCUCCGAAGAUCGUGGUUGAUCUGACAGAUACAGUAAUGCACACUAUGGAAAAACGUUGAGACCGUAAAAAUAAGAAUCAAGGAUGUACCAUAUACAUAAGCUGAUACCAAUUGGGUCCAUGUCAUAGAGCGGCG
rnacentral:lncRNA from 1 species